rnacentral:rRNA from 1 species
AGCGAACGCUGGCGGCAGGCCUAACACAUGCAAGUCGAGCGGAAAGGCUCCUUCGGGGGUACUCGAGCGGCGAACGGGUGAGUAACACGUGAGUAAUCUGCCCUGCGCUCUGGGAUAGCCACCGGAGACGGUGAUUAAUACCGGAUAUGACCGCUACACGCAUGUGUUGGUGGUGGAAAGUUUUUCGGCGCAGGAUGUGCUCGCGGCCUAUCAGCUUGUUGGUGAGGUAAUGGCUCACCAAGGCUUUGACGGGUAGCCGGCCUGAGAGGGUGAGCGGUCACACUGGGACUGAGACACGGCCCAGACUCCUACGGGAGGCAGCAGUGGGGAAUAUUGGACAAUGGGCGGAAGCCUGAUCCAGCAACGCCGCGUGAGGGAUGACGGCCUUCGGGUUGUAAACCUCUUUCAACUCCGACGAAGCGAAAGUGACGGUAGGGGUAGAAGAAGGACCGGCCAACUACGUGCCAGCCGCCGCAGUAAAAC